rnacentral:rRNA from 1 species
AUUGAACGCUGGCGGCAGGCCUAACACAUGCAAGUCGAGCGGAUGACGGGAGCUUGCUCCUUGAUUCAGCGGCGGACGGGUGAGUAAUGCCUAGGAAUCUGCCUGGUAGUGGGGGACAACGUUUCGAAAGGAACGCUAAUACCGCAUACGUCCUACGGGAGAAAGCAGGGGACCUUCGGGCCUUGCGCUAUCAGAUGAGCCUAGGUCGGAUUAGCUAGUUGGUGGGGUAAUGGCUCACCAAGGCGACGAUCCGUAACUGGUCUGAGAGGAUGAUCAGUCACACUGGAACUGAGACACGGUCCAGACUCCUACGGGAGGCAGCAGUGGGGAAUAUUGGACAAUGGGCGAAAGCCUGAUCCAGCCAUGCCGCGUGUGUGAAGAAGGUCUUCGGAUUGUAAAGCACUUUAAGUUGGGAGGAAGGGCAGUAAGCUAAUACCUUGCUGUUUUGACGUUACCGACAGAAUAAGCACCGGCUAACUCUGUGCCAGCAGCCGCAGUAAUAC